rnacentral:rRNA from 1 species
GACGAACGCUGGCGGCGUGCCUAAUACAUGCAAGUCGAGCGGACGAAUCGAAAGCUUGCUUUUGAUUCGUUAGCGGCGGACGGGUGAGUAACACGUGGGCAACCUGCCCUGUAGACGGGGAUAACACCGAGAAAUCGGUGCUAAUACCGGAUAACACGAAAUGUCGCAUGACGUUUCGUUGAAAGACGGCGCAAGUUGUCGCUACAGGAUGGGCCCGCGGCGCAUUAGCUAGUUGGUGAGGUAACGGCUCACCAAGGCGACGAUGCGUAGCCGACCUAAGAGGGUGAUCGGCCACACUGGGACUGAGACACGGCCCAGACUCCUACGGGAGGCAGCAGUAGGGAAUCUUCCGCAAUGGACGAAAGUCUGACGGAGCAACGCCGCGUGAGCGAAGAAGGCCUUCGGGUCGUAAAGCUCUGUUGUUAGGGAAGAACAAGUAACGCAGUAACUGGCGUUACCGUGACGGUACCUAACGAGAAAGCCACGGCUAACUACGUGCCAGCAGCCGCGGUAAUACGUAGGUGGCAAGUGUUGUCCGGAAUUAUUGGGCGUAAAGCGCGCGCAGGCGGUUCCUUAAGUCUGAUGUGAAAGCCCACGGCCCAACCGUGGAGGGUCAUUGGAAACUGGGGGACUUGGGUGCAGAAGAGGAGAGCGGAAUUCCACGUGUAGCGGUGAAAUGCGUAGAGAUGUGGAGGAACACCAGUGGCGAAGGCGGCUCUCUGGUCUGUAACUGACGCUGAGGCGCGAAAGCGUGGGGAGCAAACAGG